rnacentral:rRNA from 1 species
ACAGAUCGUUCAGAGUUUGAUCCUGGCUCAGGAUGAACGCUGGCGGCGUGCCUAACACAUGCAAGUCGAGCGAGAAUUCUUUAACUGAUUCUUCGGAUGAUUUUAAAGAAGGGAAGCGGCGGACGGGUGAGUAACGCGUAGGCAACCUGCCUCUCACAGAGGGAUAGCCAUUGGAAACGAUGAUUAAAACCUCAUAACGCCAUUUAGAGACAUCUUUAGAUGGCCAAAGAUUUAUCGGUGAGAGAUGGGCCUGCGUCUGAUUAGCUAGUUGGUGGGGUAACGGCCCACCAAGGCGACGAUCAGUAGCCGACCUGAGAGGGUGAUCGGCCACAUUGGAACUGAGACACGGUCCAA